UACUGCCAGACUUGGAACCGGGAGAGGUAAGAGGUACUACAGGGGUAGGAGUGAAAUCUUGUAAUCCCUGUGGGACCACCUGUGGCGAAGGCGUCUUACCAGAACGGGUUCGACGGUGAGGGACGAAAGCUGGGGGCACGAACCGGAUUGGAUACCCGGGUAGUCCCAGCCGUAAACGAUGCUCGCUAGGUGUCAGGCAUGGCGCGACCCGUGUCUGGUGCCGCAGGGAAGCCGUGAAGCGAGCCACCUGGGAAGUACGGCCGCAAGGCUGAAACUUAAAGGAAUUGGCGGGGGAGCACAACAACGGGUGGAAGCCUGCGGUUUAAUUGGACUCAACGCCGGACAACUCACCGGGGGCGACAGCAAUAUGUAGGCCAAGCUGAAGACUUUGCCUGAAUCGCUGAGAAGAGGUGCAUGG
rnacentral:rRNA from 1 species